rfam:Xenorhabdus bovienii SS-2004 chromosome, complete genome
CUUUAAUAAUCUGGAACAAGCUGAAAAUUUGAAACAAUCAGUGCCGUCAUGGACGGGACUGGUGAGUCUCUCAAAACGCACACCCGAAGACACCUUCGG